CAGGUAAGCAGCUGUUCAGUGUACUGGCGCUACUCUGUUACCAGGGACACACUCAGCUAUACAAUAUACUGCAACACUAAGGACUUUAACGCCUUUGCCUAUUAUCCUUUCCAUACCCAUGGACUAAGGUCAGUUAGGUAGGCGGUUAUUUAGACAGAUUUACCCAUCUGUUUUUCUAUGUCCGAUUAAUACACUGUAUGCACUAGCUGGGUGUGUGAACAUAUACCUGGAUCAGAUUCAUUGUUCGUUGCUUACCAGCAAUCAACUGCCAUACCACCGCAUGCAAUUUAGUUCUGCUUUUUCUUUAUGAUUAUACUCUCCUAUCUGGUUGAAACAAUUUCCUUGUGAAUUACAAUCAGUGAUAGGCCAAUAAAAGACCGUUCGUUGAUUACCACCAACGCGGGAUACCCCUUAAUGAAAUAUCUAUGCUCCUGAGGAAGCGCUAAUUCCAUAAGCGUGCAACAUGUCGAGCAAAUCCUCCUAGUCCUCUGGACAACCAUCUGGUCACUUGUGAUAUAACGUUUUUUAUAUUUAUGCUUUUUAUUUUAAGCUUUUUAUGUUAGAACUAUACAAUGUAUGUGAACCGUGUGUGGUA